GGAAACCAGAAUUACAACCACACGUAAAAAUGGAUACAUUAGAGGUGGAUUUUGAAAGAGAUUGGAAAAAGCCCAGACUCUUAUAAUAUAAAAGGAUCUUUUUAAAAACCACCACUCAGAUAUAAAUUACAUCUGCUGGAUCAGCAUCCUGUUGCUAUGUUGCUGAUAAACAGAAGCUGACUUCAUCACACAUGGUGGCGUCUCUUCAGACGCUAGCUCUGUACCUCCAAAGCAGCGCAAUCAUCAUGCUCACGUACUUUCUCCUCUCCUGUGUGAGGUGGAAGAAGGAUGUUACUGGUGUGAGC